UCACCUCCGCUGGCUGCCGGCCCCCAGGCUGGGCUGGGCAACUACCUGUUUGAAAGACUCACCCUCAAGCACAACUAGGAGU
rnacentral:pre_miRNA from 1 species